UCACCCGAGCAGUAUACACUGUAAACCAAUGU
rnacentral:piRNA from 1 species